UACGUAGGGGGCUAGCGUUGUUCGGAAUCACUGGGCUUAAAGGGCGCGUAGGCGGGUGCUCAAGUCUGUGGUGAAAUCCUCCAGCUUAACUGGAGAACUGCCAUGGAUACUGGGUGUCUCGAGGAACGUAGGGGUAUGCGGAACGAUUGGUGGAGCGGUGAAAUGCGUUGAUAUCAAUCGGAACUCCGGUGGCGAAGGCGGCAUACUGGACGUUAUCUGACGCUGAGGCGCGAAAGCUAGGGGAGCAAACGGG
rnacentral:rRNA from 1 species